UACAGAGGUCUCAAGCGUUGUUCGGAUUCAUUGGGCGUAAAGGGUGCGUAGGCGGCGCGGUAAGUCGGGUGUGAAAUCUCGGAGCUUAACUCCGAAACUGCAUUCGAUACUGCCGUGCUUGAGGACUGGAGAGGAGACUGGAAUUUACGGUGUAGCGGUGAAAUGCGUAGAUAUCGUAAGGAAGACCAGUGGCGAAGGCGGGGUCUCUGGACCACUACUGACGCUGAGAAGCGAAAGCGUGGGGGAGCGAACAGG
rnacentral:rRNA from 1 species